rnacentral:rRNA from 1 species
GACGAACGCUGGCGGCGUGCCUAAUACAUGCAAGUAGAACGCUGAAGGAGGAGCUUGCUUCUUCGGAUGAGUUGCGAACGGGUGAGUAACGCGUAGGUAACCUGCCUGGUAGCGGGGGAUAACUAUUGGAAACGAUAGCUAAUACCGCAUAACAGUAGAUGUUGCAUGACAUUUGCUUAAAAGGUGCAAUUGCAUCACUACCAGAUGGACCUGCGUUGUAUUAGCUAGUUGGUGGGGUAACGGCUCACCAAGGCGACGAUACAUAGCCGACCUGAGAGGGUGAUCGGCCACACUGGGACUGAGACACGGCCCAGACUCCUACGGGAGGCAGCAGUAGGGAAUCUUCGGCAAUGGACGGAAGUCUGACCGAGCAACGCCGCGUGAGUGAAGAAGGUUUUCGGAUCGUAAAGCUCUGUUGUAAGAGAAGAACGAGUGUGAGAGUGGAAAGUUCACACUGUGACGGUAUCUUACCAGAAAGGGACGGCUAACUACGUGCCAGCAGCCGCGGUAAUACGUAGGUCCCGAGCGUUGUCCGGAUUUAUUGGGCGUAAAGCGAGCGCAGGCGGUUAGAUAAGUCUGAAGUUAAAGGCUGUGGCUUAACCAUAGUACGCUUUGGAAACUGUUUAACUUGAGUGCAAGAGGGGAGAGUGGAAUUCCAUGUGUAGCGGUGAAAUGCGUAGAUAUAUGGAGGAACACCGGUGGCGAAAGCGGCUCUCUGGCUUGUAACUGACGCUGAGGCUCGAAAGCGUGGGGAGCAAACAGG